GAUGAACGCUAGCGAUAGGCUUAACACAUGCAAGUCGAGGGGCAGCAUGAACAAAGCUUGCUUUGUUUGAUGGCGACCGGCGCACGGGUGCGUAACACGUAUGCAACUUACCCAUAAAACGGGGAUAACCCGGAGAAAUUCGGACUAAUACCCGAUGGUAUUAAUAGAAGGCAUCUUCCUUUAAUUAAAGAUUUAUCGAUUAUGGAUAGGCAUGCGCAUGAUUAGCUAGUUGGUGAGGUAACGGCUCACCCAGGCGACGAUCAUUAGGGGUUCUGAGAGGAAGGUCCCCCACACUGGUACUGAGACCCGGACCAGACUCCUACGGGAGGCAGCAGUGAGGAAUAUUGGUCAAUGGACGAGAGUCUGAACCAGCCAAGUCGCGUGAAGGAAGACUGCCCUAAGGGUUGUAAACUUCUUUUGUAUGGGAAUAAAAAAUGGCACGUGUGCUAUAUUGUAUGUACCAUACGAAUAAGGAUCGGCUAACUCCGUGCCAGCAGCCGCGGUAACAC
rnacentral:rRNA from 1 species